CUACGGAGGGGGUUAGCGUUGUUCGGAAUUACUGGGCGUAAAGCGCACGUAGGCGGAUUGGAAAGUUGGGGGUGAAAUCCCAGGGCUCAACCCUGGAACUGCCUCCAAAGCUAACAGUCUAGAGUUCGAGAGAGGUGAGUGGAAUUCCAAGUGUAGAGGUGAAAUUCGUAGAUAUUUGGAGGAACACCAGUGGCGAAGGCGGCUCACUGGCUCGAUACUGACGCUGAGGUGCGAAAGCGUGGGGAGCAAACAGGAUUAGAAACCCCGGUAGUCC
rnacentral:rRNA from 1 species